UACAGAGGGUGCAAGCGUUAAUCGGAAUUACUGGGCGUAAAGCGUGCGUAGACGAUUAUGUAAGUCGGGUGUGAAAGCCCCGGGCUCAACCUGGGAAUGCCAUUCGAGACUGCAUAGCUAGGGUGCGGAAGAGGGAAGCGGAAUUUCCGGUGUAGCGGUGAAAUGCGUAGGUAUCGGAAGGAACACCAGUGGCGAAAGCGGCUUCCUGGUCCAGCACCGACGUUCAGGCACGAAAGCGUGGGGAGCAAACAGG
rnacentral:rRNA from 1 species